GGAGAGGUGGCUGAGCGGUCGAAAGCGCUACCUUGGAAAGGUAGUGAACGUGCAAGCGUUCCGCAGGUUCGAAUCCUGUCCUCUCCGCCA
rnacentral:tRNA from 1 species